rnacentral:piRNA from 1 species
UAAAACUACACAAACCAAGGUAUUUCUGGCC